GUGGGGUUUGCUUGUAGGUUAAUCUUCAACGAAAAGGCUUCUAUAGCAGUGCUUGCGUGCAGGGUUUGAUUUUGAGUUAUCAGACUGAAGCUGCAAUGGUGAUAGUCGAAAGCAACUUAGAAGCCCCUAGUUGGUGUUUCGUCUUUUAGGUCUGCGGUUUGGUUCUGCAUGGCGAGAGGGUUCCCCAGCAUUUGGUUGUCUUCGCACCUCUGGAAACUACUUCUACACCACUGCUGGAAAAGACCUUCUUGAUGGCUUAUAGUGUCAUAAGAACUCUACGGCAGCCCUCUUUUGUCGGCACAGAGCGGAGUUUUAACAUUAAUGGGAAAACUUGCCUUCUAGCCUAGGGUUGCUUCGUGUCUUCAGUCCUUUCCUCACCCCUUUCUUUCUACCUCUCUGGAAUUUUCUUUUCCUUUCUUUUUCAUCCCUUUUCCAUAAUCCCCUGUUGCUUUCCCAAUUCCCUACCUAAAGAUCUUCAAAAUCACAGCUCUACUAAUCUUACUCUGCUUCCAAUUUCUCCAUUUCAAUUUUGCUGCAAUAUUUGAGUUCAUAAUUAAACUCUUACGAUUCUUUAUUUUAUUUGAAUUUUGCACUUUUGAUCGAUUUAUUAUAGGUUCCAAUCUCAUUCUUUGUUUGGUUGCCAUGAAACCAGAGGCAAUUCAAGCAAAAUUAAGUAAUUUUUGUUCUUGAGGAUAAUUUUUUACAGAAUGGCUUCCUCU
rnacentral:misc_RNA from 1 species